rnacentral:lncRNA from 1 species
CAAGUAGGUAGCAUCAAGUAACUACACACCUAAUUGGCACCCAGGAGAAGGACGUGGUCCUAGCCUAAACACGUCCGUUUUGGCCCAGAGCUUAGUAUGUUCCCCAGAUAAGUAACCACGUGAAUAUCAAAACGAUACCAGAUACGAGAACCACGUCCUCGAGAAAGUCACCCAUGGGUUGACGAACUGUUAAUUAGCUCCGAAGGCAACCACCACACAUCAAGUUUCCACCUGACGCCUCCCGAAGAAGAUCUGGAGCUGUAGAUAACCUAGGACAGCACCGGAAGAAGCCCUCACACCACAAGCUAAGUCUUUAAUUGAAUCUUAUAUUUGCCUGUCAGCAGAGACAGUUUUUUUAUAUAAAGUAACUUCACAAUGACUAUAAUGUGAAUCCUGAAUUAUAACCAAUGAAAUGAGAAAAUAAAGCAUUUAUAC